GACGAACGCUGGCGGCGUGCUUAACACAUGCAAGUCGAGCGGUAAGGCCCUUUCGGGGGUACACGAGCGGCGAACGGGUGAGUAACACGUGGGUGACCUGCCCUCAGCUCUGGGAUAAGCCUGGGAAACCGGGUCUAAUACCGGAUAUGACCCCAUGACGCAUGUUGUGGGGUGGAAAGCCUUGUGCGGCUGAGGAUGGGCCCGCGGCCUAUCAGCUUGUUGGUGGGGUGAUGGCCUACCAAGGCGACGACGGGUAGCCGGCCUGAGAGGGCGACCGGCCACACUGGGACUGAGACACGGCCCAGACUCCUACGGGAGGCAGCAGUGGGGAAUCUUGCGCAAUGGGCGAAAGCCUGACGCAGCGACGCCGCGUGAGGGAUGACGGCCUGG
rnacentral:rRNA from 1 species